UACGAAGGGGGGCUAGCGUUGCUCGGAAUGACUGGGCGUAAAGGGCGCGUAGGCGGAUGACACAGUCAGAUGUGAAAUUCCCGGGCUUAACCUGGGGGCUGCAUUUGAUACGUGUUGUCUAGAGUGAGGAAGAGGGUUGUGGAAUUCCCAGUGUAGAGGUGAAAUUCGUAGAUAUUGGGAAGAACACCGGUGGCGAAGGUGGCAACCUGGUCCUUGACUGACGCUGAGGCGCGAAAGCGUGGGGAGCAAACAGG
rnacentral:rRNA from 1 species